AAGUCGUAACAAGGUUUCCGUAGGUGAACCUGCGGAAGGAUCAUUACCAAAAAGGGUACCCAUCUCUGAUAUUGAUGUAAAGUCAAAAUCCGAUUUGGGUAUCCUAUCCAAACACCCCAAACUUUGUGUGCACUGUUUUUUUUUUAAAAACACAUCAACUCCAAUUCAUUACAAAACUUGUCUUACAUUUAUUUAUAAUAAUAUAUAAUAUAAAAAAUACAACUUUUAACAACGGAUCUCUUGGCUCUC
rnacentral:misc_RNA from 1 species